rnacentral:hammerhead_ribozyme from 1 species
AUCCAGCUGACGAGUCCCAAGUCGAAGGAAAUGUGCGUUCUGGAU